rnacentral:tRNA from 1 species
GACCGCAUAGCUCAGUUGGUAGAGCAUUGGGCUAGUAUUCCAAAGGUUGUAGGUUCGAUUCCCACCGUGGUCA